rnacentral:rRNA from 1 species
GCAUAUCAAUAAGCGGAGGAAAAGAAACCAACAGGGAUUGCCCUAGUAACGGCGAGUGAAGCGGCAACAGCUCAAAUUUGAAAUCUGGCUUCGGCCCGAGUUGUAAUUUGCAGAGGAAGCUUUGGGCGCGGCACCGACUGAGUCCCCUGGAACGGGGCGCCAUAGAGGGUGAGAGCCCCGUAUAGUCGGACGCUAAGCCUGUGUAAAGCUCCUUCGACGAGUCGAGUAGUUUGGGAAUGCUGCUCAAAAUGGGAGGUAAAUUUCUUCUAAAGCUAAAUACCGGCCAGAGACCGAUAGCGCACAAGUAGAGUGAUCGAAAGAUGAAAAGCACUUUGAAAAGAGGGUUAAAUAGCACGUGAAAUUGUUGAAAGGGAAGCGCUUGUGACCAGACUUGCGCCUGGCUGAUCAUCCGGUGUUCUCACCGGUGCACUCUGCCAGGCUCAGGCCAGCAUCGGUUCUCGCGGGGGGAUAAAGGCCCUGGGAACGUAGCUCCUCCGGGAGUGUUAUAGCCCAGGGUGCAAUGCCCUCGCGGGGACCGAGGUUCGCGCAUCUGCAAGGAUGCUGGCGUAAUGGUCAUCAGCGACCCGUCUUGAAACACGGACCAAGGAGUCAAGGUUUUGCGCGAGUGUUUGGGUGUAAAACCCGCACGCGUAAUGAAAGUGAACGUAGGUGAGAGCUUCGGCGCAUCAUCGACCGAUCCUGAUGUUUUCGGAUGGAUUUGAGUAGGAGCGUUAAGCCUUGGACCCGAAAGAUGGUGAACUAUGCUUGGAUAGGGUGAAGCCAGAGGAAACUCUGGUGGAGGCUCGCAGCGGUUCUGACGUGCAAAUCGAUCGUCAAAUCUGAGCAUGGGGGGCGAAAGACUAAUCGAACCAUCUAGUAGCUGGUUACCGCCGA